rnacentral:misc_RNA from 1 species
UACAGAGGGCCCGAGCGUUGCGCGGAAUCACUGGGCUUAAAGCGUGCGUAGGCGGAUCCGUAAGUACCUUGUGAAAUCCCACGGCUCAACCGUGGAACUGCUCGGUAUACUGCGGGUCUUGAGGUCGGUAGGGGCCGUCGGAACAGUAGGUGGAGCGGUGAAAUGCGUAGAUAUCUACUGGAACGCCAAAGGCGAAGGCAGACGGCUGGGCCGAUUCUGACGCUCAGGCACGAAAGCGUGGGGAGCAAACGGG